GACGAACGCUGGCGGCGUGCUUAACACAUGCAAGUCGAACGAUGAAGCUGGAGCUUGCUCCGGUGGAUUGGUGGCGAACGGGUGAGUAACACGUGAGCAAUCUGCCCUUGACUCUGGGAUAACUGCGGGAAACUGUAGCUAAUACCGGAUACGAGGCUCGAAGGCAUCUUCGGGUCUGGAAAGAAUUUCGGUCAAGGAUGAGCUCGCGGCCUAUCAGCUUGUUGGUGAGGUAAUGGCUCACCAAGGCGACGACGGGUAGCCGGCCUGAGAGGGUGACCGGCCACACUGGGACUGAGACACGGCCCAGACUCCUACGGGAGGCAGCAGUGGGGAAUAUUGCACAAUGGGCGAGAGCCUGAUGCAGCAACGUCGCGUGAGGGAUGAAGGCCUUCGGGUUGUAAACCUCUUUUAGCAGGGAAGAAGCGAAAGUGACGGUACCUGCAGAAAAAGCACCGGCUAACUACGUGCCAGCAGCCGCAGUAA
rnacentral:rRNA from 1 species